rnacentral:rRNA from 1 species
CCUACGGGUGGCAGCAGUCGAGAAUCAUUCACAAUGGGGGAAACCCUGAUGGUGCGACGCCGCGUGAGUGAAGAAGUAUUUCGGUAUGUAAAGCUCUAUCAGCAGGGAAGAAAGAAAUGACGGUACCUGACUAAGAAGCCCCGGCUAACUACGUGCCAGCAGCCGCGGUAAUCCGUAGGGGGCAAGCGUUAUCCGGAUUUACUGGGUGUAAAGGGAGCGUAGACGGCGAUGCAAGUCUGAAGUGAAAGGCGGGGGCCCAACCCCCGGACUGCUUUGGAAACUGUAUGGCUGGAGUGCAGGAGAGGUAAGUGGAAUUCCUAGUGUAGCGGUGAAAUGCGUAGAUAUUAUGAGGAACACCAGUGGCGAAGGCGGCUUACUGGACUGUAACUGACGUUGAGGCUCGAAAGCGUGGGGAGCAAACAGGAUUAGAUACCCCUGUAGUC